rnacentral:rRNA from 1 species
UCUUGGUCAUUUAGAGGAAGUAAAAGUCGUAACAAGGUUUCCGUAGGUGAACCUGCGGAAGGAUCAUUAUUAUAAUGCGUGGAAAUGCCCCCUAACAGGGGCAUACUCUAGAAAACUCUAAACUUACAGUCUGAGAAGGCCAUGGGCCAUAACCUUUAAACAUUUUAAAACUUUCAACAACGGAUCUCUUGGCUCUCGCAUCGAUGAAGAACGCAGCGAAAUGCGAUAAGUAAUGUGAAUUGCAGAAUUCAGUGAAUCAUCGAAUCUUUGAACGCACAUUGCGCCCUUUGGCAUUCCAUAGGGCAUGCCUGUUCGAGCGUCACUAACAACCCCAUCACAAAGAGUGUGGUAUUGGCAGAAGUGGGUAGGGCUGGCAGUGCUGGCCCCACUCUGCUGGAAUGAAUAGGCCGGAAAUGUAGACAAUGGUGACAGACUUUCAGAGUAUCUCGUAAUGCUAAAUUAGUUUGUAGGCCGGUCAGAAUCCAGGCUGUUGGACCCCCAUUCUGUGUAAAGCAGUAAUGUUGACCUCGGAUCAGGUAGGGAUACCCGCUGAACUUAAGCAUAUCAAUAA